rnacentral:tRNA from 1 species
CGCAAGGAGUAGUUUAAGUAGAAUUUCAGCUUUGGGUGCUGACGGUAGGGCUCAUGCUCUUUCCUU